rnacentral:rRNA from 1 species
GGGGAAUUUUCCGCAAUGGGCGAAAGCCUGACGGAGCACUAUCGCGUGGAGGAAGACGGCUCGUGAGUUGUAAACUCCUUUUGUCAGAGAAGAAAAAUGACGGUAUCUGACGAAUAAGCAUCGGCUAAACUCUGUGCCAGCAGCCGCGGUAAUACAGGGGAUGCAAGCGUUAUCCGGAAUUAUUGGGCGUAAAGCGUCCGUAGGUGGUUAUAAAAGUCUGUUGUUAAAGCCCACAGCUCAACUGUGGAUCGGCAAUGGAAACUGUAUGACUUGAGUGUGGUAGGGGUAGAGGGAAUUCCUAGUGUAGCGGUGAAAUGCGUAGAUAUUAGGAAGAACACCAACGGCGAAAGCACUCUACUGGGCCGAUACUGACACUCGCAAACGAAAGCUAGAGGAGCGAAAGGGAUUAGAUACCCCUGUAGUC